CACAAGUGCAAGGUCCCAAGUUCAAUCCCCGGUACCAAAAAACACAAACCAAAAAAAAUCACUUAUUAGGCCCUCUAUUUCCUUGUAUUUAAAAGGUUUAGUACUUUUCCCUCAAGUAUUUAUGAAAUGGUAAUUUUCUUAGGUAAAUUUGCCUUUCAGAACUUUACAUUUGUCUUGAUAAGAUCAGUCAUCACGUGUAGUAUUCUAGCUAAGACAUUUGGAAAUAAAUCUGUACUAGGCACAGAGCAUACGUUAUGGUCAGUGCAUUUCUGAAAUAAACUAGCUUUAUAUUUCAGUUCUCAUGGACUGUACCACCACUUUGGGGUGAGAACAUGUACUUGGAAGCAGAUGAAAUCCUGUUUCAACCGCUUGAUAUCUGUGAGUCUGAUCAGUUUACCUGGUCUUCCUGGGCUGUGGUCCUUUUUCCUAAAAUGAACUUAAAAGUCCCAAGGUGUGGGGUAAUUAAAUGAAAUGAUGAGUAAGAGCCAUCAGCAGUGACAUAUGUGCUGUAAAUGUUUCUCUGCCUCCCAUUUUUUGAUUUAUGUAAAUGUGCUCGCAUAUCAACAGCUUUAUUUGUGCCAGUCAUUGUGCUUAACACUUCACUUGAAUGUAAUUUAAUCUGUGCCACAAAUCAAAAGUUCAUAUUCCUGCAUUAUUCCUAAAAGCAGAGUGAGUAUGUUACCAAAGCCUAAGAGACUGUUCUAUGUUGAUUUCUAAUAGAUGAUUUUACUGGCUUUGUUUUUUUAAACUGGCAAAAAAAUUGUUAAUUAUGUUUGGCUCACAUCUACUCACGCAUUAGUGCCGAUGUGGGAGAGAACAAUGACAGUGAACUCUUGGUAUAUGAUUUGCCACACAAAUGACUCAUUAAAAUGUUCUUAGCUUUUAUAAGCUGUAGAGAUCUUAAUUUAUUAUUGAACAAAUUCUUACAAUUUUGUUGACCAAGAUAUUAACUGUGCUUCUAAAACCCAGAUAAGAAAUCACCAUGCCAGUGGGGCUUUUAUUUACUUUUUAGCCAACGUGACCUUAAUUUUUGUGUCUUCUGUAAUAAUAAUGGCAGCCUUCCUUGUCCCUUGUUCCCUCACAGACAUAAGUAACUCCUGCUCCCCUUUAUACUAAGUCACCCUAGUUGGUGGGGAAUGACCAUGUGUCCAAUUCAGAUGCUUAGUUUUGUAGACAUAUUUGGGAACAAUUGAAGUCCUGAUAGGCAAAAAUGGGUUUUGUUUCUUACUCUGAAUAACUAUGUUCUGAACUGUGAAAUUCUUAUCCAUACUUUUUAGUUGUAUUAUGUCAUUGCUUCAUGCACACUUUUCUCUAUUUUAUGAGAUAGGAUUGCUACGCAUUGGUGUAUGGAGCCAUUUGGUCUUAGGAUUUCAUUAACAGAAUUAAAAACUGAGGCACCCCGCCCUGCAAAGAGCUUUUGUUUAUGUGAAAAAAAAUGUAUGUUGUGAAACUGGUCCCAAACAAGUGGACUGAUUGGUCUUCGUGCCACAGCCUUCCAAGUAGCUAAUAUGCUUACUUUAGAAGAGCUAUCAUUUGGCUUCUUUGGGGUUUUUAUGGAAGAAGUGCUCCCCAUGAUCCUAAGGUAUUCCAAGCAGUAGACCUGUUUGCCUACCAGCUGGGGCACAUUUCUGCAGGAGCCCAUGUAUCUAUCAGCUUCUGCCUCAGUUGGGCAGAGCAGUGAGCUUCCAGGAAAAAUGACCUGGCCUCUAGUAUUUGACAAUGUUCCUUCCCAGCCCAGAAAGGGAUUUGGUUCCUCUGACCUCCACCCUAAUCCCAGGAAUAAAACUCUACUCUCAGCCUGAAAGCCGCCCACUCCCUCCCUCGACCUGCAGUCCCAGCAUCUGUGUGCAUUAGCAUUGUGGGGUUAGUGUUACAAUCCACAGGCUCCUUUGAGAAUAUUGGGGGGGAAAUCUACGUGAUUGGCCUCCACGUUCUUUGUUCACACUGUUUGCUUUGAAGGCCUUCACGCAGCGCUGAGAAAUCAAUAAGCAGGGCUGCUGCUGACCCCAAUGUGCCUGCACCUGGAGUCCUCUGGGAGGCUUUGCUCUCUCCAGCACACUGAGAAGUAGUGAAGAACCCGCUCCCUCUGCAAAUGAAGGUGCUUGCAAGCGUCAAGGAACACCAUGGGUUUUCCGUCCAGAUUGUCAUUGGAUGAGACGAAAGUACACAUUACAGGUCUGUGUAAUGAAUGAGCCUCAAGUUGGGUUUGCCACAGUAGGGUUAUCAGUCAUUGCAUGAAUUAAUUAUUUAGAAAAGCACUUUUUACAGUGUGGUUUCAUUUAAGUUUUGCCCCUUGAUGUAUGUAUAUAAAAAUGACUAAUCCAUCGGACACUGCUAUUGUACUUGUACAUCUAUCACUAU